rnacentral:ribozyme from 1 species
AGUAAUAAGCACCUAUAAACAAGAUAAUAAGAAAAUCAUCAAAAAUACCAAAAUUCAACUAACAACGGUAUCUCUCUCGUCUUUUUCAUCUCUUUUCUUGUCACUUUUAUCUCUUGCGUCUUUUU